AUUGAACGCUGGCGGAAUGCUUUACACAUGCAAGUCGAGCGGCAGCACGGGGGCAACCCUGGUGGCGAGCGGCGAACGGGUGAGUAAUACAUCGGAACAUGCCCAGUCGUGGGGGAUAACACUUCGAAAGAAGUGCUAAUACCGCAUACGUCCUGAGGGAGAAAGCGGGGGAUCUUCGGACCUCGCGCGAUUGGAGUGGCCGAGGUCAGAUUAGCUAGUUGGUGGGGUAAAGGCCUACCAAGGCAACGAUCUGUAGCUGGUCUGAGAGGAUGAUCAGCCACACUGGGACUGAGACACGGCCCAGACUCCUACGGGAGGCAGCAGUGGGGAAUUUUGGACAAUGGGGCAACCCUGAUCCAGCCAUUCCGCGUGAGUGAAGAAGGCCUUCGGGUUGUAAAGCUCUUUCGGCAGGAACGAAACGGCGAGCUCUAACAUAGCUUGCUAAUGACGGUACCUGAAGAAGAAGCACCGGCUAACUACGUGCCAGCCGCCGCAGUAAGAC
rnacentral:rRNA from 1 species